rnacentral:rRNA from 1 species
GUGCCAGCAGCCGCGGUAAUACGUAGGUGGCAAGCGUUAUCCGGAAUUAUUGGGCGUAAAGCGCGCGUAGGCGGUUUUUUAAGUCUGAUGUGAAAGCCCACGGCUCAACCGUGGAGGGUCAUUGGAAACUGGAAAACUUGAGUGCAGAAGGGGAAAGUGGAAUUCCAUGUGUAGCGGUGAAAUGCGCAGAGAUAUGGAGGAACACCAGUGGCGAAGGCGACUUUCUGGUCUGUAACUGACGCUGAUGUGCGAAAGCGUGGGGAUCAAACAGGAU